rnacentral:rRNA from 1 species
AUGCUUUCUUCGUCUUGCUCCGUCGCGGCGUGCGGCGUUCGUGCGUUCCGGCUCCUGGCCGUGGCCGCCGUCCGGCUCCCGAUGCUCCUCUUCUGCGACGCCAUGGUGUGGGCCGUCACCUUCCUCACCUUCCCCGUGCGCCUCCUCGCCGCCGCCGACAGGGAGCGCAAGCUGGAGCGGCUGGUGGGGGAGAUGCAGGGGCAGAUGGAGCGGGUGGUGUGGGAGAACAGGGACCUGGAGCAGCGGCUGCGGACGGCGCUCAAGGAGAACGCGACCAUGGAGGGCAUCCUCGACGAGAUGGAGGAGGAGAACGAGGAGGCCUUCGCCCGGAUCGACCUCCUCGAGAGCCAGCUCAAGGCGCUCAAGAAGGAGAACAUGCGGCUCAAGGAGCAGAGGGGCAAGUCCGUGUGGGACAAGGCGGCGGCCACGGCCACGGCGGCGACGGUGGCGGUGGCCGGAAAUGGCGGCGGCAAGAAGAAGCCUGGCGAAACGAGGGCAUGGGAAGGCCAAGAAGAAGAGGAAGAAGACGCGCCAGCGCAGAGGGACCAGCCGGUCGUCUUCAGACCCGGCGACCUCGACGCCUUCCCACCGUCGGAGGCGCGGGAUCAGCUGUUGCGGGCGACGGCGCGGCGGCGGAGCCUGUUCAGCCUGGGCAUGUCGCUGGCGGUGGGAGGGAUCGCGUGGUCGGCGGACGCGCCGUGCCUGCCGCUCCUCGCGGGGCUCGUCGGCGUGGUGGCCAUGUCCAUGUGCAGCGUGUCGCGCCUCUUCCGGGCGCCCGCAGACCACCGCGUCCUGCCUCCGGCGUCGGCGGCCUCCGACGGCGCCGUGGCGCUGCUGAGCCUCAACUGGUUCCUGCUGGGCGUGCUCACCUACCCGAUGCUGCCGGGCGUUGCGCGGGCCGUCGUCCCGCGCGCCGCGCGCCUCGCCGGCCCCGCCAUCGCGUGGCUCGCUGCCGCGGUGCCCGUUUGA